GAAAAAGCUAAAGCCGAUGGCUAGAGAAUUAAGAGGUAUCGCUCAUCUAAUGACUGCAAUUCCAGCUCUACUUGCGCUUAUUGCCAUGUUCACUGAUCCGACCCGUUCGAGAAAUUCUACAAGUUUGUCAAUUGGCACUGGUGCUUACACAUUGAUUAGAAGACAUGAUCCUUGAGUUCCCUUGCAAUUAUGUUGUUGGCUAAACAUAUAUAGACGUUUGAGAUGGUGGAAAGAUUUGUGUUAUAUUGCUAGUACUAGUAGAAAUAAAGAAUGUUUGACCAAGUGUAUUCAACUUGAGAGUUCUA